rnacentral:misc_RNA from 1 species
AUCAAAAUUCCGUCCUUAUACUUCAAAGCAACCACAGAUGUACCCGUCACAUACGGAUACAGUGUUCUUUCAGAAGCAGAUUCAGGGCCCAAAAGCUGGGCGGGUUCGGAACCGACCUCCUUCACCAUUGUCGUGGCCAUGGUUGUUCUGUGGAUCAAACUGAAAGAAUUAAAGCAGAGGAAGAUGAGAGUAGAAUGAAUAUGUG